GAUGAACGCUGGCGGCGUGCCUAAUACAUGCAAGUCGAGCGAACAGACGAGGAGCUUGCUCCUCUGACGUUAGCGGCGGACGGGUGAGUAACACGUGGAUAACCUACCUAUAAGACUGGGAUAACUUCGGGAAACCGGAGCUAAUACCGGAUAAUAUAUUGAACCGCAUGGUUCAAUAGUGAAAGACGGUUUUGCUGUCACUUAUAGAUGGAUCCGCGCCGCAUUAGCUAGUUGGUAAGGUAACGGCUUACCAAGGCAACGAUGCGUAGCCGACCUGAGAGGGUGAUCGGCCACACUGGAACUGAGACACGGUCCAGACUCCUACGGGAGGCAGCAGUAGGGAAUCUUCCGCAAUGGGCGAAAGCCUGACGGAGCAACGCCGCGUGAGUGGUGAAGGUCUUCGGAUCGUAAAACUCUGUUAUUGGGGAAGAACAAAUGUGUAAGUAACUAUGCACGUCUUGACGGUACCUAAUCAGAAAGCCACGGCUAACUACGUG
rnacentral:rRNA from 1 species